CCUACGGGAGGCUGCAGUGGGGAAUAUUGGACAAUGGGCGAAAGCCUGAUCCAGCCAUGCCGCGUGUGUGAAGAAGGCCUUCGGGUUGUAAAGCACUUUCAGUGGGGAAGAAAGCCUUGGGGCUAAUACCCUCGAGGAAGGACAUCACCCACAGCAGAAGCACCGGCUAACUCCGUGCCAGCAGCCGCGGUAAUACGGAGGGUGCGAGCGUUAAUCGGAAUUACUGGGCGUAAAGCGCGCGUAGGCGGUCUGAUAAGCCGGUUGUGAAAGCCCCGGGCUCAACCUGGGAACGGCAUCCGGAACUGUCAGGCUAGAGUGCAGGAGAGGAAGGUAGAAUUCCCGGUGUAGCGGUGAAAUGCGUAGAGAUCGGGAGGAAUACCAGUGGCGAAGGCGGCCUUCUGGACUGACACUGACGCUGAGGUGCGAAAGCGUGGGUAGCAAACAGGAUUAGAUACCCUAGUAGUC
rnacentral:rRNA from 1 species